AGCGAACGCUGGCGGCAGGCCUAACACAUGCAAGUCGAACGAACCUUUCGGGGUUAGUGGCGGACGGGUGAGUAACACGUGGGAACGUGCCUUUAGGUUCGGGAUAACUCAGGGAAACUUGGGCUAAUACCGAAUGUGCCCUUCGGGGGAAAGAUUAAUCGCCUUUAGAGCGGCCCGCGUCUGAUUAGCUAGUUGGUUGAGGUAAUGGCUCACCAAGGCGACGAUCAUUAGCUGGUCUGAGAGGAUGAUCAGCCACAUUGGGACUGAGACACGGCCCAAAAUCCUACGGGAGGCAGCAGUGGGGAAUCUAGCGCAAUGGGCGAAAGCCUGACGCAGCCAUGCCGCGUGAAUGAUGAAGGUCUUAGGAUUGUAAAAUUCUUUCACCGGGGACGAUAAUGACGGUACCCGGAGAAGAAGCCCCGGCUAACUUCGUG
rnacentral:rRNA from 1 species